rnacentral:misc_RNA from 1 species
UGUGGGAGCGAGCCUGCUCGCGAUGGCGUUGGGUCAGCAGCAUUUAGGGUGGCUGACACACCGCCAUCGCGAGCAGGCUCGCUCCCACC